rnacentral:misc_RNA from 1 species
GAAAUUUUAAUCACUGGAGACCAUUGUUUCUACAUUUUGAUACUUAUUUCAAGACGUACUUAUGUAAUAGGAAAGAUCUUGGCUUGUCUGAUAAUAUAUUAGAAGAUGAUAGCCCUUUCCCUAAGCAAGCAGUUCUACAGAUCUUACGUGUGAUGCAGAUCAUACUAGAGAAUUGUCAUAAUAAGGGUUCAUUUAGUGGCUUGG